GGGAGGUUGAGAGUGCAUGUCCUUAUAUGUACUCCAUUACCACUGGAAUCAUAAACAGCUCCUUCACCACACUCUGCCAAACUACUGUCCUCAGAAGACUUUGGGAAAACACUACACGGUGGCCCCUCGCUCACCCACUCCUCUCAACUCCACAGCAGGCCUGGAGUCACAGCACACAAGACCGCUGGGGGCUCUCGUGCCCCUGUGGGGACCGAUGUGGUUCAGUCUCUCCGGCUCACAGAUGAGAGGGGGAUUCCAGCGGCGGUCACAUGCUUCUCUGCAGGGCUACAGAGGAGGCCGGCCAUUUCAUGGAUGACAAGCCAUACAUGGUGUCCUUUAUGUGGAUGCAUGUGCACAGUUCUGGUGGCAUUGUGCGGUUCUUCUGUUAAAGGCAACCUGUACGGGACACUUGCCUUUUCAUUCGUUUGGUUUCACAUGUGCUGGAGUUAAUGUGUGUGUGUGACAGAGAGAGAAUAAUGAGUUUGCUCUUGGUCCUCAGGGCUCGAAGCGGCUUUGCGUGUUCAAUAGGCAUAAAUUGAGUGAUUCAAUAUUGCAGUUGUACUAAAAUAUUUAUGAGAUGUGUUAAUAAAUUAUCUUUAAUAGAC